AUCCUCCAGACCCGCCCACCCAACAAGCCAUCUAGCAGCACAACUUCCUCCACUUCAACCAAACAUAGCUACAACAGGCAAAUCCCAUAUCACCAUAUCAACAAUCACCCGACAACCCACCACCUCCCAACUAACCCCUAACCCUUCCCUUUCCCUUUCCCUUUUCUAACUAAACCCCCGGAACCCUCUCCUUGCGCCACCACGCAAGAUCGCCCCCGCUCCAAACACGGUAUGGAAGGGUCCCCCAGUGAGCAAGGAGGGAGAUGUUGGGGGACUGAGUGGUCUAAAAGAAGGGAAAAAAGAGAGAAAAAGUAAAAGAAAAAAAAAAGGAAGACGGGGCCACUCCUGCAUAGAUGUAUGUUUGAUGUUUGUAUGUAUGAGGCACUGGGGAGGUAUAGUUAGAUAGAUAGAUAGAUAGAACCCGAACCCAUUCAUUAUUGCGGGCGUUAGCAGCCCAUAUACAUACAAUAAAUAAUAAGAUGAUAACGGGGUCGGUCGCGGUCGCCGGGAGGG
rnacentral:sRNA from 1 species